CUUUAAUGGAAUAAGGAACGGCAGAGAGACUACAUUUCACUUUAGAGCAGGUUGUCUGUGAGAUGUUUACAGUUGAAAAAUGUUUUCAGUAUUUACAAUGAAAGUUAAAGUUAUGUUGUGAGAGUGCCAUUCUUGAGUUUGAUGACAUUCUUUUUUUCUCUGUUUCAGAAUACUGUUUCACAAGCAUUUCUUACUUGACUCUGAGACUGACUGAUCUGAGCACAACCCUUUGCUGCACUUUUCUUCUUGGUUCCUUGUGUUUUGGCUUUUUCUACAGAUAGCAGUUCAUUUGUUCCUAGUACUUUUUGCUUGAAACUUAAAUUGAAAUUUAGAUUUUUUGAAUUCUGCAUUUUUUUUAAAUACAGCAGUUUAUUUAGUUUAUUUUA